CACGUAAGGGGCGAGCGUUGUUCGGAAUUAUUGGGCGUAAAGCGUGCGCAGGCGGUUUUGUAAGACAGGUGUGAAAUCCCCGGGCUUAACCUGGGAACUGCAUUUGUGACUGCAAGGCUGGAGUGCGGCAGAGGGGGAUGGAAUUCCGCGUGUAGCAGUGAAAUGCGUAGAUAUGCGGAGGAACACCGAUGGCGAAGGCAAUCCCCUGGGCCUGCACUGACGCUCAUGCACGAAAGCGUGGGGAGCAAACAGG
rnacentral:rRNA from 1 species